GUUCAGAUCAGUCGAAGUUCUCGCUCGAUACUCCACCGGAAGUCCGAAGAACUGUCCAAGAGCUAAAGGAGGUUCUGUCCAGAUCAGGCCGUCCAGACCUGUUAGUGUCUUCAUGAUCGCCGAGGGUCUGUCCAAGUCGAGGUCAGUUCAGUCCAGUCCAGUCAAGGCGUCCCUUUGGGUUUUGGCCAAGUCCUCUCCGAUCAACCAGCUUGUUUGGAAUGCAGCCCCAAUGUCAGGCGACAAGAAUCCGUCCAAAGGCUAAAUAUGGGCGAGGAACCGAUGCGCGAACAAAACACCGCGUAGAAUGAAAAGGACUUUGAAAAAGAAGUGAAAUUCUGCUUGAAAUUGUGGGAGAAGCGGAUAGGGGCAGCGAUGCGUCCUGGUCGGAUCGCGAGCGAACAAUCCGGUCCACGCCCGAUCGAUUAGGCGUGGGCGUCGGGUUCGUGAAGUGACCUAAGCGGGCUUCGUUAAGCCAGCAGGAGAGCAUGCUUCCAUAUCGUGAGUACGCUCUGUAGCGCCUCACGGCGUUACCUCACGGCAUCGUGCUGCGUCGACUGUGAGCACUCCCAUUGAUCUUGAAACCACGGACCAGAGUCUGACGUAAUGCGGUCAGCGGGUGGUAACCCGUAGAGCAAAACUGAUUGGCUGGAUCCUCGCGGGUGCCACGGUAGGCCAUUAUGAUCGCUUGCGAAGGGCCGAAUUGUGACGUACGCAGCCGGGUCAGUGAAGUGCGGUUGGUGGGUUAUUAAUAAAACCGACGUUAUCGAAACAAGAUUUACGGUGCUUAACUGCGCUAACCUAGAACCCACAAAAGGGUAUUUGGUGAUUAAGACAGGGGCCGGUGGUCGUGAAAUGGAAGGUGGUAACAACUCACCUGCGACAACUAAAAUGGAUGGCGCUGAAGCCGUCGGGGCAAGAGCCAGGCCUCGAUGAGUAGGAGAAGGCGGGUCUGAUAAUCGCUUAUCUUGAACGAAAGGGAUCGGUUAAAAUUCGGAACGGGGCGUGGCGGUUGGCCGACGGCAGCGUUAGGGAGUCGGAGGCGUCGGCGAAUUCGGAAAAGAGUUAUCUUUUCUGUUUAACAGCCUGCCCACCCUGGAAGCGGCUCAGCCGGAGGUAGAGUCCAGCGGCUGGAAGAAACCGCCGUCGCGUGGUGUCGGUGCAUUCCGGCGACCUUGAAAAUCCGGAGGACCAGUGCAGCUCCGCGCCGGUCGUUACUCAUAACAUCAGGUCUCCAAGGUGAACAGCCUCUGGUCGAUGGAACAAUGUAGGCAAAGGGAAAUUCGGCAAAAUGGAUCCGUAACCCGGAAAAGGAUUGGCUCGAGGGCUGGGCUCGGGGGGUCCCAGUUCGAACCCGUCGACUGUUGGCGGGCUGCUUGAGCUGCUAGCGUGGCGAAGCGGACCGCCUCGUGUCGUCGGCGGGGCGGACUGGGAGCGGCUCUUUAGGAGCUUUCCCGGGCGUCGAACAACCAACUUCGAGAACUGAAUGCGGACAAGGGAAUCCGACUGUUUAAUUAAAACAAAGCAUUGCGAUGGUCCUGCGGAUGCUAGCAUAAUGUGAUUUCUGCCCGGUGCUCUGAAUGUCAAAGUGAAGAAAUUCAACCAAAGCGGCGAAUUAAGCGGCGGGAGUAACUAUGACUCUCUUAAGGUAGCCAAAUGCCUGCGUCAUCUAAUUAGUGGCGCAUGAAUGGAUUAACGAGAUUCCCACUGUCCUGUCUACUAUCCAGCGAAACCACAGCCAAGGGAGCGGGCUUGGCAGAAUCAGCGGGGAAAGAAGACCCUGUUGAGCUUGACUCUAGUCCGACUUUGUGAAAUGACUUGAGAGGUGUAGAAUAAGUGGGAGCUCGGCAAAGUGAAAUACCACUACUUUUAACGUUAUUUUACUUACUCCCCGUGAAUCGGGAUGGGGUAACAACCCUUCUUUUAGACCAAGACUAAACCCGGUGGUUCGAUCGAGCGGAGGACAUUGUCAGGUGGGGAGUUUGGCUGGGGCGGCACAUCUGUUAAAAGAUAGCGCAGGUGUCUAAGAUGAGCUCAGCGAGAACAGAAAUCUCGUGUGGAACAAAGGGUAAAAGCUUCGUUUGAUUCUGAUUUUCAAUGCGAAUCUGAACCGUGGCGUGGCCUAUCGAUCCUUUAGACCUUGAAUUUGAAGCUAGAGGUGUCAGAAAAGUUACCACAGGGGGAUAACUGGCUUGUGGCAAUAAGCGUUCAUAGCGGCGUUGCUUUUGAUCCUUCCGAUGUCGGCUCUUCCUAUCAUUGUGAAGCAGAAUUCACCAAGUGUUGGAUUGUUCACCCACCAAUAGGGAGCGUGAGCUGGGUUUAGACCGUCGUGAGACAGGUUAGUUUUACCCUACUGAUGCCCGCGUCGCAAUAGUAAUUCAACCUGAUGCGAGAGGAACCGUUGAUUAAGCCAAUUGGUCAUCAUCGGCAGUUGAAAAAGCCAGUGGCCUGAAGCUACCGUCGCUGGAUUAUGACUGAGCGCCUCUAAAGUCAGAAUCCGGGCUAGAAGCGGCGCAUCGCCCGCCGCCCGAUUGCCGACCCUCGGUAGGAGCCCGGCUCCCAAAGGCGCGUGUCGUUGGCUAAGUCCGUUCGAUUGGAAGCGCCGUUCGGACCGCCUUGAAUUAUAAUUACCACCGGUGGUGGUAGAAUCCUUUGCAGGCGACUUAAAUCUGCGGGGGGGUAUUGUAAGUGGCAGAGUGGCCUUGCUGCCACGAUCCACUGAAUUCAGCCCUUUGU
rnacentral:rRNA from 1 species